rnacentral:rRNA from 1 species
AACGAACGCUGGCGGCAGGCUUAACACAUGCAAGUCGAACGCCCCGCAAGGGGAGUGGCAGACGGGUGAGUAACACGUGGGAAUGUGCCCCAAGGUACGGAACAACGCCGGGAAACUGGCGCUAAUACCGUAUGUGGCCGAAAGGCGAAAGAUUUAUCGCCUUGGGAUCAGCCCGCGUUGGAUUAGCUAGUUGGUGGGGUAAAAGCCUACCAAGGCGACGAUCCAUAGCUGGUCUGAGAGGACGACCAGCCACACUGGGACUGAGACACGGCCCAGACUCCUACGGGAGGCAGCAGUGGGGAAUUUUGGACAAUGGGGGCAACCCUGAUCCAGCAACGCCGCGUGAAUGAAGAAGGCCUUAGGGUUGUAAAGUUCUUUUGUCUGGGGACAAGAGCCACUGGGUAAUAUACAGUGGAGAUGAGGGUACCAGAAGAAUAAGCACCGGCUAACUACGUGCCAGCAGCCGCGGUAAGGUCCGUCAUGU